AAUAUCCUAAAAAUUGUCUAAGACCCCGCUUAACUGCUACCUCCUUCAUGAGGCCUUCAUUGAUUCCUCCGGCCAAUAUCUUCCUCAGAACUCCCAAGGAACUUGUGGCCUGACUGCUACCUUCAAGUUACAUUUACACGGUCGUUGUUGGUAUAUGUGUUUUACAUCCUCUUCAACACUGUGAACUGCCUGAAAGCGAGGAUCACAGAGGCUAUAAUCACAGUCCCCGCCCUGCGCAGGACAGCGGACUUCAUGUGUUUCCCUGCUGUUCUUAUAUUCGAUUGGAGAAGAAGAUGGAGUCAUCCUUUCUGCUCUUGGGGGAAGGAACCCAUAGCCAUGAAAGGAUCAAUAAACAAAGGAUUCUGAUAUCGCACUAUGCCCACAUCUGAAACCAACAAGCAGACCAGCAUAAACACUGGCCCAACGGCUGCCUGCAGGAAUUCUCAGCGGGGACUCUCAACAGGAGGCCCCCAGCAAGUGAUCCAGAUGUCCUGACGGGGAGGAGCUGGGACCGGAACGGGCAUUCUUCUUGGGAAAUCGGAGGAUGAAGGAGAGCCAAACCAAGAACCAGCUGAGCCUAACAGCUAAGUAGACAUUAAAAC